rnacentral:rRNA from 1 species
CAAGAAAAUAAACCGAAAACGCUGUGACUAUUUAAUAAGUUUUCUAGUUUAAAAAAACUAGGUUAAUAAGGUUAAGUUAAUAAGGGCGCACGGUGGAUGCCUUGGCACUAGAAGCCGAAGAAGG